rnacentral:rRNA from 1 species
GACGAACGCUGGCGGCGUGCUUAACACAUGCAAGUCGAACGGAAAGGCCCUGCUUUUGUGGGGUGCUCGAGUGGCGAACGGGUGAGUAACACGUGAGUAACCUGCCCUUGACUUUGGGGUAACUUCAGGAAACUGGGGCUAAUACCGGAUAGGAGCUCCUGCUGCAUGGUGGGGGUUGGAAAGUUUCGGCGGUUGGGGAUGGACUCGCGGCUUAUCAGCUUGUUGGUGGGGUAGGGGCUUACCAAGGAUUUGACGGGUAGCCGGCCUGAGAGGGUGACCGGCCACAUUGGGACUGAGAUACGGCCCAGACUCCUACGGGAGGCAGCAGUGGGGAAUAUUGCACAAUGGGCGGAAGCCUGAUGCAGCAACGCCGCGUGCGGGAUGACGGCCUUCGGGUUGUAAACCGCUUUCGCCUGUGACGAAGCGUGAGUGACGGUAAUGGGUAAAGAAGCACCGGCUAACUACGUG